CCUCCCGCUCCCUCGGGAGUAGCCUAGUCGAACGUGCGAAGGUGGUAACGCCUUGGUGCGAAGCUUCGACAACAACGUACCGGCCCCUUUCAGGGGACAACCGAACCGUGAGGAACGGUUGAGGACUGCGAGCAUCGCGCGGGUCCCGGG
rfam:Leptospirillum sp. Group IV &apos;TBA BS&apos; genomic scaffold D084_Lepto4S00211, whole genome shotgun sequence.